ensembl:lncRNA
AUCUAACGUUACUACGACAUGCGUAGGCUGGCUAAUGUAAUUUGAGCGCGACGGUAUAUUUUAUAUCCUCCACUGCACAAUUCAAAUGCAUGACGUUGCCCAUUACCCUAUAGGCUUUGGAAAACAUUGUCCACAAGAUCCAUGCGCAAAACACUACCACACAGUCCCCUGCCAUGAAUGCUACGACCAGAGCUGGCGGUGCGAGUUCCAACAUGACCAAGAUGCCCGAUGUCACCAAGAACAACAUUGCCAAAGGAGCCAGUGCAUCCUUGCAGUCCAGCUCGGGCGUGCUCAUCAUACCCAUCAUGGUGGGGGGCUCACUACAGGGGCGCUUCUAGAGGGCUGUUGCGCAGUGAACAGACACCAGCAAGACUUGAACAUCAGCGGCUGAGAUGGGGCAAACUGUUCUACCAAGAUAACAUUUAAGAAAUAAUCAUUAUGAGAAACUCAGUCAUGUGCACUCCUAACCGAAGAGAUUCGGUGGAGUUGUGUGCCAGACGAGAAUCCAUUUCUAUUUAACUGAUGGGAAUGUUUAUAUUCCCUCAACUUCUGGCUGCUUCAAACCAGUAGGCCUUCACACCUCGCACACUGGCCCCAUGCCGAUUGGCCGAGCUGGAAUAUGGAAUUGUAUGAGCUAGCAUGUGAGAUUUAAUUGUAUGAAUCAUAAUGUGAUAUGCUAAGAUUUGUUUUUAAGGCCAGGUUCAAGUAACCUUUAAAAUGUAGGAUACUUGUGACACUUUUCUUGUAUAAUAAAAAUACUUUAACAUAAUGUUUCUCCUCCUGUCUCUAAAUUCUAAAGCUUGACCUGCCAAGUAAUUUGCUCUGUUCCACUUGUGUCCAGCCCCUUUAUUGAUCACAUAGCUAAGCCCAGGGAUUUCCUUAAGGUAGACUAGGUUUGAUGUGCCACAAAUUAAAUCCUUAUUUUAGAAUGGGGUAUAGGAAUGUUCACCUUUGGCCAGUUGUAGCAUUUAUGCCAUGUCAACUAGGACCUUUCUUGCAUUCCUUGUGGCCAAAACAGUUCAGUUUCCUGACAGUUGACUCACUUGCAGGCUGCUUUAAUUAGAUUUACUUUACCCUAGCUACAUUGACCUGUGACCAGUCAUUUACUUACUAGCCUACAAAGAUGUUCAGGGGAAGGCUGGCUGUAAAAUAUAUUUAAACUAAAACUUGACACUGGGUCUUGCUGGUUGGCUCUACGCCAAAGGGAUGCCUAACUUUUUAGAAUGGU